rnacentral:lncRNA from 1 species
ACCCCUUGUUUUCUUUUAAAGCCAAAGAAACUGACCUUUAGCAACUUUGGGAAUCUGAGGAAGAAGAAACAUGAAGAUGGGGAGGAGUAUGUCUGUCCAAUGGAGCUAGGCCAGGCGUCGGGUAGCUCCCAGAAGGGGUUUAGACCUGGCUUGGACAUGCGCCUGUAUGAAGAGGAUGAUUUGGACCGGUUAGAGCAGAUGGAAGAUUCAGAAGGGACGGUGAGACAGAUAGGUGCGUUUUCUGAAGGCAUCAACAAUCUCACGCACAUGUUAAAGGAAGAUGACAUGUUUAAGGAUUUUGCUGCCCGCUCCCCAAGUGCCAGCAUCACAGAUGAAGACUCCAACGUUUGAGCAGAGCACCUGGGCAAAUGCCAGGAGCACACGUGUCAUUUUCCAGCUUUGUUUCUCGGAUAGUGUAUACAGCAGGUGACAGGUUGUGCAUUGCUUAUUGUUCGGACUUCUGCUCGCUCAGAAGGAGAGCUAUAGCACGGGAAUGGUGCCAGUUCUG